UACGGAGGAUCCAAGCGUUAUCCGGAUUUAUUGGGUUUAAAGGGUGCGUAGGCGGCUUUUUAAGUCAGGGGUGAAAGACGGUAGCUCAACUAUCGCAGUGCCCUUGAUACUGAAGAGCUUGAAUGGACUAGAGGUAGGCGGAAUGUGACAAGUAGCGGUGAAAUGCAUAGAUAUGUGAUAGAACACCGAUUGCGAAGGCAGCUUACUAUGGUUUUAUUGACGCUGAGGCACGAAAGCGUGGGGAUCAAACAGG
rnacentral:rRNA from 1 species